UACGUAGGGUGCAAGCGUUGUCCGGAAUUAUUGGGCGUAAAGAGCGUGUAGGCGGCCCGAUUAGUCCGCUGUGAAAGUCCAGGGCUCAACCCUGGAAUGCCGGUGGAUACUGUCGGGCUAGAGUCCGGAAGGGGCGAGUGGAAUUCCUGGUGUAGCGGUGAAAUGCGCAGAUAUCAGGAGGAACACCAAUGGCGAAGGCAGCUCGCUGGGACGUGACUGACGCUGAGGAGCGAAAGCGUGGGGAGCGAACAGG
rnacentral:rRNA from 1 species